rnacentral:rRNA from 1 species
GGGUCAGUAGGUUGGUCGUGCCACCGGUACGUACUGGUCUCACUGAUUCCUCCUUCCUGAAGAACCGUAAUGCCAUUAAUUUGGUGUUGCGGGGUAACAGGACUGUUACUUUGUAAAAAUUAGAGUGUUUAAAGCAAGCUAACGCUUGAAUACAUUAGCAUGGAAUAAUGAAAUAGGACGAUCGAUCCUAUUUUGUUGGUUUCUAGGAUUGACGUA